AGAAUUACACUGAAGAAGUAGAGUAUUUCAACCAUAAAGACAUCUUAAUUGGGCACGAAAGAGAUGAUGAUAAUUCCGAAGAAGGCUUCCACACUAUUCAUUCAGGAAGGCAUGAAUAUGCAUUCAGCUUCGAGCUUCCACAGACACCACUCGCUACCUCAUUCGAAGGCCGACAUGGCAGUGUGCGCUAUUGGGUGAAAGCCGAAUUGCACAGGCCUUGGCUACUACCAGUAAAAUUAAAGAAGGAAUUUACAGUCUUUGAGCAUAUAGAUAUCAACACUCCUUCAUUACUGGUAAGAAUUGACUGAAUUAUUUAUUCUUUGUUUUUGGCAUAUAAAUAUUAAAGAAUAAUCAA
rnacentral:sRNA from 1 species